GUGAGGUAACCUUUAUGGAGCCAGCCGCCGAAGGUGGGGCAGAUGAUUGGGGUGAAGUCGUAACAAGGUAGCCGUAUCGGAAGGUGCGGCUGGAUCACCUCCUUUCUAAGGA
rnacentral:rRNA from 1 species